rnacentral:snRNA from 1 species
AUCGCUUCUCGGCCUUAUGGCUAAGAUCAAGUGUAGUAUCUGUUCUUAUCAGUUUAAUAUCUGAUACGUCCCCUACCCGGGGACCAUAUAUUAAAUKGAUUUUUGGAKCMGCGGAGAUGGAAGMGGGGCUUGCUCCGUCCACUCCACGCAUCGACCYGGUAUUGCAGUACCGCCGGGAA